CAUAACUAGCAUCAGUGUUACACCAAAUAGAGUUACGUCCAUCAUACAAUAGUGAUAUAGCAAUUAGAGGUACAUCCAUCAAACCUUGCACCAGUGUUAUACCAAUUAGAGGUACAUUCAUCAAGCCUUGCACCAGUGUUAUACCAACUAGAAGUACGUCCAUCAAACCUUGCACCAGUGUUAUACCAAUUAGAGGUACGUCCAUCAGAUUUUGAGCAAUAGAGAUAUGGUAAUUAGAGGUACGAGCAUUAAAAGCAGCAUCGGUGUUAUACCAAUUAGAGGUACGAGGAUCAAAUCUAGCAUCGGUGUUAUACCAAUUAGAGGUACGACCAUCAAAAGUAGCAUCGGUGUUACACCAAUUAGAGGUGCGAACAUCAGGCGUAGGGCAAUAGUGAUACACCAAUUAGAGGUGUGUCCAUCAAAACUAUCAUCAGUGUUACACCAAUUAGAGGUACGACCAUCAGGCGUAGGGCAAUAGUGAUAUACCAAUUAGAGGUGCGUCCAUCAAACUUUGCACCAGUGUUAUACCGAUUAGAGGUGUGUCCAUCAAAACUAGCAUCACUGUUACACAAAUUAGAGGUACGCCUAUCAAACCUUGCACCAGUGUUAUACCAAUUAGAGGUACGUCCAUCAGACGUAGGGCAAUAUUGAUAUACCAAUUAGAGGUGCGUCCAUCAAAACUAGCAUCAGUGUUACACCAAAUAGAGGUACGUCCAUCAUACAUAAGGCAAUAGUGAUAUACCAAUUAGAGGUACAUCAAACCUUGCACCAGUGUUAUACCAAUUAGAGGUAUAUCCAUCAAACCUUGCACCAGUGUUAUACCAACUAGAAGUACGUCCAUCAAACCUUGCACCAGUGUUAUACCAAUUAGAGGUACGUCCAUCAGACGUAGGGCAAUAGAGAUAUACUAAUUAGAGGUACGAGCAUCAAAGUAGCAUCGGUGUUAUACCAAUUAGAGGUACGACCAUCAAAAGUAGCAUCGGUGUUACACCAAUUAGAGGUGCGACCAUCAGGCGUAGGGCAAUAGUGAUAUACCAAUUAGAGGUGCGUCCAUCAACCCUUGCACCAGUGUUAUACCGAUUAGAGGUGUGUCCAUCAAAACUAGCCCCAGUGUUACACCAAUUAGAGGUACGUCCACCAGACGUAAGGCAAUUAGUGAUAUACCAAUUAGAGGAGCAUUCAUCAAACCUAGCAUCAGUGUUAUACCAAUUAGAGGUACACCCAUUAGACAUAAGGCAAUGCAAAAUAAAAAAUAUAAAGGGGAAGUAGGUCACCAGCAACUAAAGGUAGAGCCCCGUAUUAGGGAGCAUGAGGACCACUUACAGUUUUUUUGCGAUCUGCAUGUCCCCUCAGCUGGAUUGACAUCAUUCUUUCAUUACUUCACAUGUUGGCGUCUUUUGUGAAAAUUACCGCACAUUCAAAGACGCCUUUUAACGGCAAAGCACGAACAGUCACUAUUAUGUAUUCACACUUCCAAAAUUUAACUUUUACUGCAUAUCAACAACAUAUAUUAUUAUCAAAACUUAAUAGUUAGUGCAAUUUCUUUUAAAAACACUGUAACUAAAUGUGAACGUAAAUCCGCCAAGGUUGAAACCUUCAAAACGUUUUCCCUUAUGACGAAAAAAUCAAUUCUGUCAAGCAGGACCGUGAUUCUUCAUCACAAGGGAUACAAAACGGAGGAUCUACACCCUUUGAUAAAUAUUCAUGGGUAUAUACUGAAUGACCAACAUGACAUCAUCGCUUUGAAAUGACUGUAUAGGGAAAGAAGUUUUGUCACAGAUUUGAUGAGUACUGCCUUAGCAGCAGUAGUCUAGUCGUUAUUUUAAAACGUUCGUUCGUCACGCCGAAGACCCGGGUUCGAUUCCCCACAUGGGCACAAUGUGUGAAGCCCAUUUCUGGUGUCCUCCGCCGUGAUAUUGCUGAAAUGUUACUAAAAGCGGCGGAAACCUAAAAUCACUCACUCACUCACCAAAAGCGGCUAGGUAUCCAACCGAGGACGAUGUCGUGUUGGCCAGUAGCAACAUCAUUAUAUAAUUCAGUUUUUCUAAAGUGGAUGUUUACAUGAUACAUUUUUCACAUCCUGAAGGUACGAAAGUGUGUCUGAUAGUAUGUUAUAUCAUUUUAUUUGGUUUGUGUACUGAUAUACUGAAUGUCUAUUGGACUAAAUAGAACUCUUAACAUUGUUCUGGAUCAAAUGAACGUGGCAGAAGCAACUGCACAAACAAAUCAUUAGAUCAAUCUGCAAAUACAGAUUUGGAUGUAACACGUUUACUUGUUAACUGAAUAAAUACGUGUGUAUAAUGGAA